UACGGGAGGCAGCAGUGGGGAAUAUUGCACAAUGGGCGCAAGCCUGAUGCAGCCAUGCCGCGUGUAUGAAGAAGGCCUUCGGGUUGUAAAGUACUUUCAGUCGUGAGGAAGGUGUUAAGGUUAAUAACCUUAGCAAUUGACGUUAGCGACAGAAGAAGCACCGGCUAACUCCGUGCCAGCAGCCGCGGUAAUACGGAGGGUGCGAGCGUUAAUCGGAAUUACUGGGCGUAAAGGGCACGCAGGCGGUUAAUUAAGUUGGAUGUGAAAUCCCCGGGCUUAACCUGGGAAUGGCAUUCAAGACUGGUUAGCUAGAGUCUUGUAGAGGGGGUAGAAUUCCGAUGUGUAGCGGUGAAAUGCGUAGAGAUGUGGAGGAAUACCGGUGGCGAAGGCGGCCCCUGGACAAAGGCUGACGCUCAUGUGCGAAAGCGU
rnacentral:rRNA from 1 species